rnacentral:rRNA from 1 species
UACGUAGGGUGCAAGCGUUGUCCGGAAUUAUUGGGCGUAAAGAGCUCGUAGGCGGUUCGUCGCGUCGGCUGUGAAAUCCCGAGGCUCAACCUCGGGUCUGCAGUCGAUACGGGCGGACUGGAGUUCGGCAGGGGAGACUGGAAUUCCUGGUGUAGCGGUGGAAAUGCGCAGAUAUCAGGAGGAACACCGGUGGCGAAGGCGGGUCUCUGGGCCGAUACUGACGCUGAGGAGCGGAAAGCGUGGGGAGCGAAGCAGG